rnacentral:rRNA from 1 species
GAUGAACGCUGACAGAAUGCUUAACACAUGCAAGUCUUUGGCGAAGCUGUGCUUGCACAGCCUAGCCAAGGCGGACGGGUGAGUAACGCGUAAGGAACUUGCCCUGCAGUCAGGGAUAACAGACGGAAACGACUGAUAAGACCUGGUAAAGUCAGGCGGACUCAUGUCCAGCCUGAUGAAAAGAGAUGCUGCAGGAGAGCCUUGCGUCCUAUUAGCUUGUUGGUGGGGUAACGGUCCACCAAGGCGAUGAUAGGUAGCCGGCCUGAGAGGGUGGACGGCCACAAGGGGACGGAGAUACGGCCCUUACUCCUACGGGAGGCAGCAGUGGGGAAUAUUGGACAAUGGGGGCAACCCUGAUCCAGCAAUGCUGUGUGCACGAUGAAGGUUUUCGGAUUGUAAAGUGCUUUCAGCAGGGAAGAAAAAAUGACGGUACCUGCAGAAGAAGCGACGGCUAAAUACGUG